CGGGGGUGGCACAGGGGGUGCGGAGCGGGGACGGGAUACCGCGGGAAGCACGCAGCGAUGUGAGGGGCCAGGGAACUGCGCUCCCGGCACUGCUGAGCCCUCUGUUAGCGCCUGCUCUGUUCCGAGGCAGCACCGACACCCCGCGUACCGGGUUGGAAUGUCCUUUACAGCAUGGACCAUCCCGCCCCGCUGCUUUAUGAAACGGGAGGCUGGAACUGGCAGGAGUGACAGCAGGCAGCCCCCUCCUGGCACAGCUUCCGUCAUCUCCCGUGCGUGUGACAGCACCGGCCUCUCCGUCAGUCCCUGGGCUGGAGAAAGCCAAAACCUUGGCCGUCCUGCAUCUUCAAAUUACAAACAUACCCAGUUCAGACUCAGAAUGAGCUGCAGGAACCCUCCAGGUCUGGCUGCUAGAGAUAAUGAAAUGGAUAAAUGGAUAAAUCUACUGUGACGGUAAAGAAUUUUAGUGGUUAAUUCGGGUUAAAAGGUCAGUGACCAUUGAGAUCAACUCGCUUUGCAGUUGUGCAGGAAGCAGUUCUGCAACCAUAAACCUCAUUUCGUGGCAAAAUAAAGUGAAUGUAGAAUUUAAAUCAAGACGUAGGAGUGCAUAGACCUUUGGAAAUGGUAGUCCAAUGUACCAUUUUAUUGACAAUGUAAUAUUGACAAUAUUAGGUUAACUUUAUUUCAGUUCCAAAAUUGUACUUCAGAGAGAGACUCAUGAUUAGUUCUGACAGCAAAUAAAAAAGAAGUCAUGAACUUUAAAAUAAUGCUGGUACAUCUAAUGCUUAUAUUAAUGACUUAAGAUUAAGUGUAAUUUUUAAGCUUUGUAAUUAAAGAUAAUUGCUUUAAUGAGAUUUUCUGUAAUUGUAACAUUAUAUCUAAUAACAAUUGUUACUAAUUUUAAAAACCCUCUGGAGAAAAUCUUAGAGAUCCUAGUAAUUGCAGCACAUCUCAUUUUCUGUCCACUGGGUUUAAAUUUGUACCCUCUGAGCCUAAUUUGUUGCUUUCCUUAAUUAAUGUUGCAUGAAAUUUUCCCCUUUUGGUCAUUUGAUACCCUGAUAAAGAUUGGUUGUCGACUCUCUGCAGGGUGUUGUUAGCAAAGAUCUUGUCAGGUUCAAGAGUGGAUAAGGACAUCCUAGACUGGCAUGCUGAUUGAGUCACACCUUCAGAGCUUCCAGGCAGGCAGGUGUACUGGGGUGUGGUGGAAAGCUGAUUUCACCAGCUAUCUAACAGGCUGGAUUGCCACUUUCUUUGGUUCUCUUUGUCAUUUUGUUAUUUUCCUUACUGAAAUUGCAAUUUUUAAAAGUCUCUCUGCAGGUGGAAUGCCUCCUGUCCCUCAAGUGGCUCAGCAUAUUAGCCAGGAGGAAAACCAGCAGCAAAAUGGACCAAAUUUGUCAAGUUGGCUUAAUUCCUUACCUGCUGCAUAUGACAGGAACCCAGUUCUGCCCCAGCAGGUACAACCAGCAGGCUGGGAUAGGAACAAUGUGCUUGUGGUCCCAGUUCCAGUUCCCUCACAACAACAGGAAAAUGAAAUUCUGCAGGGAAUAACAGCACUGAGGAAAGAAGGUUUAUGGUCUCUGAAACCUCUGCCCAAACUCAGCGCAAAUCAUACCAUGUUGUUAUGAAAGAAAUGCAGUGGAUGGCAACUGACUCUUUUUUCAAGAAAGAAGAUGAAAGACUGUAAUUGCCAAGAGAGUGAUGUGAAUUUGAUAUUUUCAACCAGAAAAGAAUAGGCAGCAUUUUCAUGGUUAGGAUGUGAUCACCGAGGAUCUGGGAGUCUGGGGUUGCCUUUCCACUGUUUAUAAACUUUAAACAGUACUCCUAAAGGGAUUUAGUAUGUAAUUAUUUUUUUUCUUUAGAAAUUUGCCUUUUAGAUAGAACUGAGCAAAACCUUAAAAUAAUUUUAUGGUUUUAUUUUAGGGUUAAUGUGUCAAGGUGGGAAUAGAUGGGUCUGAAAUACCAGUUCUACAAAGGCAAAUGUUCUAAUUACAAGCAUUGAAUUAGCUGCAGAUAUAGCUUAUCUUUUGAGGGUGCUGCCCUAUUUGUGACUCCUGGUAACAUGAGCAUAAUGCUCCAUUUCCAUGGUGUGGGUUCUUGGAGCCUUUUAAAGUAACGGCAGCUGCUCUCUGCAAAGUCACAUGACACGUGGCUCUUCCAAGUUCCACUUUAAUUCUGCCAUCAGCUGGGAGCUUUUUAAUCAUUCUCAGAUACUGUGGUAUUAUUACUAUUAUUUUGUCUAAACUGCAUCUGAAUAGUAGUAAAAUAUUUCUUUAGGUUUUGUUUUUUCUUUUACUAUAACUUAAGUACACAGACUGGCCUCUCUUUGAUUUGAUUGGGAUGGAAAACCAAAUUAGUUGCUACAAAGCACAAAUGCUGUUAAAACUGAAGGUAACUGGAAAGUUUAUUGAAGACAUCUCCUGCACCCUUUCGUCAGCCAGACUUAAGCCAGUGAAGCUCAAACCAAAAAGAAGCUUUAUCUGGUCACAAUAGAUUCAGAAAAUAAUUUUGAAUUUAAAGGGUAUCCAAAGAGAAAAAAGACAACUAAAGGAACACCUGGAUAAAAUAUACUUCUGGAAUGAGUGUCAUUAUUCCAGAAUCCUCCUGUAUGGCAGAGACCUGUUGGAAACUUGCUCUUGGAUCAGUGAAAGAAAAAUCUCUCAGCAUUGCUCUGCCAGGAUUAACAAGUGGUGCUGGGCAGGCUUUGCAAAUUGCCUUCCAUAUUCCAGCACUUCAGAGGCUCUAAGGAUCUAUUGCAGGAAAUCAUUCUGACACUGAAACAACAACAGAUUGCCCUGAAGGAUGUUAUUUCCAGAGACCUGUGUGUGUUCCAGCUGUAGCUGUUGCUCCUCCAUAUUUGUGUGGAGCAAAUCCUUCUUACACAUGGACUCAUGGAAUGAAACUCUUGCAGUUCAGUCUCGAGGGACAGAGAUGGUGCAGUGUGAUUCAGGUGUCAGUCACACAGGUGUGAUUACUGUUGUCUUCUAUGACUGAUUUAGAUCUGCUGAUGGAUGCAAAGAGUAAGGAGUGGUGUGACAAAAUUACAAGAGGCAGAGAUAACCACACAUACAGGCUUGUAAGUGGUAAUUCUGUUGAAGAGAGUCUGUUGAAAAAGAGUAUUAAACAUAUGAUUCAAGAACUGGCUGCUCAGGGAGGGGAUUGUUCAACAGACCUUUUAUCUCAGGAUGACUAAAAAUUUUUUUGACAUCAUGCCUUAUCUUAUUGAAUACUUCAAAACAUGUUUCCAUAAGGCUUUUUGCUCUGAAUAUGGAAAAGAGGGUUCCAGAAUGUUUACAGAAGAGAGACUGUCUGAGCUAAGAAAUUAUUUAGAUUGAGAGUUGUGUGACUCAGGAAACAUCAUGGUUCCUACUCAGAACAGCUGACCAGCUUGGUGGACCAGAUCUGGGGAUUUCUCUUAUUUUAUGUAAACCUUUAGAAAAGGUUGGAAUUUACUUUCUGUAAAACAGCCAAGUGGCUUCCGUAAAGUACCUUGUUUUCAAUCCAUUUACAUGAAACAGUUCUGUGCAAAUUUAAAUACUGAAACACUCAGGGGAGGUAAUUUGAGCCUGUUGAUAUAUCUGUUCAUGUUCUGAAACAUUUAAAUUACCAAGUGUUCUCCUGGGGGUUGUGACGUGCAUUGAACUGAAUUGUAUCUUGUGUUGUAAAACUGUUUUAUAGUCCUGUGCCUUGUCAGUCCUGUGCCUUGUCAGAUAAUUUGCAUUUUUUUCUUAACGGUCUUGGAUCCUGUCAGUGAUGUGGUUCUCUUGUAACUGUGUUUAUCACUCUCCAAAGCAAUGCCAAAAUUGUUACAUAAAGACCAUUGCAAGUCCAGAGGGAAAGGUGUUGAAACGUGAUUUGCAUUGUGAUAACUUGGGGGUUUCUGGGGUCUUUUUUGUUGUAGUUUUUUGUGGUUUUUUUUCUUUUAAUUCCUCAUUGCUGUUAGAGUACUACAUGAGUGUUUACUAAGCAGAAACAUAACUAGAUUUUAGAAUUCUGAAUAGCAAAUGUUAGUAAAUACCUUCUCCUACCAGUAUUACUAAUAUAGGUUAUAUUUAUUACAUUUCCAUACACUUAGGAAUAUAAAUUUCCCCAGUGUUAUGAUAAUACGAUCUUGGAUGUAUCAUUUGCACAACCAGUAUGUUAAAAAUAAGGGUGGAAAGCUGUUUAAGUGGUAGGAUAUGAAUUGUUUUCAGUCAAGGCUAUUGAUAACUAUGAAUUUUGAGACAGGGUUGUUGCUUAUGUAUUUUUGUAUUAUGUAUUUUUUUGCUUAUGUAUUUUUGGUACCUAAGCCUUCACUUUGUAUUUAUGUAGAAUGUAGUAGGUGGUCAUCCUCUUUGUGCUAAAGACUGGAAUUCUGGGUGUAUUCAAAUCUAUAUGAAUCACUUUGAAUUGAUGACAAUGACUACUCAAAAAAGAAAUAGAUUUCUUUAAGUUUACUUCUAUUGUCAACAAUUUUUCUCAGAUUUAACAGGAAAGCACUGGUGGCCUGAUUGGUGAAUUUGUUUUCUCUUAAUUACGAAUGUAAUUCACGGAGACCUUUUUCUUAUCAAAGGCUCUGUGUUAACCUUUAGCCUUAAGGUAGUGUUUACUGUCCAGGAAUCAAAUCUGUGCUCCUGCUGAUGUAAAGAAAAGCCUGAAGUUCUUCAGUAUUGCUCCAUCUGAUGUACCAGAAGUCCUUCCUCAGGUCUGGGUGGAACCUCCUGAGCAUCAGUGUGUGCCCGUUGUCUCCUGUCCUGUUACCUGGCACCACCGAGCAGAGCUGCUCCUCUCAGCCGCCUCUUCCCGAGGCUGAACGCGCCGGGAAGAGGCGGCUUCAGCCUUUCCCCGUAAGAGAGAUGCUCCGGCCCCUUCACCACCUUUGUUUCCCUCGGCUGGCCCCGCUCCAGACGCUCCCAGUCUCUCCUGCCCUGAGGAGUACAAGCCCCGCGAGCUGCAAUGUGCAUUUUCACACCGUGACUUAAAGAGCCAGCCCUGCUCCUGCCCGGACAGAAACCACCCUUUGCUCUCUCCUUCCCCUCCCCUGUCCCUGCUAUAAUAAAUAUCCAUUUUUCUGCCCUGUC